rnacentral:rRNA from 1 species
UACGUAGGGUGCAAGCGUUAAUCGGAAUUACUGGGCGUAAAGCGUGCGUAGACGGUUAUUUAAGUCGGAUGUGAAAGCCCCGGGCUCAACCUGGGAACUGCGUCCGAUACUGGAUGGCUUGAAUUCGGGAGAGGGAUGCAGAAUUCCAGGUGUAGCGGUGAAAUGCGUAGAUAUCUGGAGGAAUACCGGUGGCGAAGGCGGCAUCCUGGACCGACAUUGACGCUGAUGAGCGAAAGCCAGGGGAGCAAACGGG